rnacentral:rRNA from 1 species
GGACCUUCGGGCCUUGCGCUAUCAGAUGAGCCUAGGUCGGAUUAGCUAGUUGGUGAGGUAAUGGCUCACCAAGGCGACGAUCCGUAACUGGUCUGAGAGGAUGAUCAGUCACACUGGAACUGAGACACGGUCCAGACU